rnacentral:rRNA from 1 species
CAGUCGAGCGGACCGACGGGAGCUUGCUCCCUUAGGUCAGCGGCGGACGGGUGAGUAACACGUGGGUAACCUGCCUGUAAGACUGGGAUAACUCCGGGAAACCGGGGCUAAUACCGGAUGCUUGAUUGAACCGCAUGGUUCAAUCAUAAAAGGUGGCUUUUAGCUACCACUUACAGAUGGACCCGCGGCGCAUUAGCUAGUUGGUGAGGUAACGGCUCACCAAGGCGACGAUGCGUAGCCGACCUGAGAGGGUGAUCGGCCACACUGGGACUGAGACACGGCCCAGACUCCUACGGGAGGCAGCAGUAGGGAAUCUUCCGCAAUGGACGAAAGUCUGACGGAGCAACGCCGCGUGAGUGAUGAAGGUUUUCGGAUCGUAAAACUCUGUUGUUAGGGAAGAACAAGUACCGUUCGAAUAGGGCGGCACCUUGACGGUACCUAACCAGAAAGCCACGGCUAACUACGUGCCAGCAGCCGCGGUAAUACGUAGGUGGCAAGCGUUGUCCGGAAUUAUUGGGCGUAAAGCGCGCGCAGGCGGUUUCUUAAGUCUGAUGUGAAAGCCCCCGGCUCAACCGGGGAGGGUCAUUGGAAACUGGGGAACUUGAGUGCAGAAGAGGAGAGUGGAAUUCCACGUGUAGCGGUGAAAUGCGUAGAGAUGUGGAGGAACACCAGUGGCGAAGGCGACUCUCUGGUCUGUAACUGACGCUGAGGCGCGAAAGCGUGGGGAGCGAACAGGAUUAGAUACCCUGGUAGUCCACGCCGUAAACGAUGAGUGCUAAGUGUUAGAGGGUUUCCGCCCUUUAGUGCUGCAGCAAACGCAUUAAGCACUCCGCCUGGGGAGUACGGUCGCAAGACUGAAACUCAAAGGAAUUGACGGGGGCCCGCACAAGCGGUGGAGCAUGUGGUUUAAUUCGAAGCAACGCGAAGAACCUUACCAGGUCUUGACAUCCUCUGACAACCCUAGAGAUAGGGCUUCCCCUUCGGGGGCAGAGUGACAGGUGGUGCAUGGUUGUCGUCAGCUCGUGUCGUGAGAUGUUGGGUUAAGUCCCGCAACGAGCGCAACCUUUGAUCUUAGUUGCCAGCAUUCAGUUGGGCACUCUAAGGUGACUGCCGGUGACAAACCGGAAGGAAGG